GACGAACGCUGGCGGCGUGCUUAACACAUGCAAGUCGAACGGUAAGGCCCUUCGGGGUACACGAGUGGCGAACGGGUGAGUAACACGUGGGUGAUCUGCCCUGCACUUCGGGAUAAGCCUGGGAAACUGGGUCUAAUACCGGAUAGGACUCCGGACUGCAUGGUCUGGGGUGGAAAGCUUUUGCGGUGUGGGAUGGGCCCGCGGCCUAUCAGCUUGUUGGUGGGGUGAUGGCCUACCAAGGCGACGACGGGUAGCCGGCCUGAGAGGGUGACCGGCCACACUGGGACUGAGAGACGGCCCAGACUCGUACGGGAGGCAGCAGUGGGGAAUAUUGCACAAUGGGCGCAAGCCUGAUGCAGCGACGCCGCGUGGGGGUUGACGGCCUUCGGGUUGUAAACCUCUUUCAGCAUCGACGAAGCGAAAGUGACGGUAGGUGCAGAAGAAGGACCGGCCAACUACGUGCCAGCCGCCGCCGUAA
rnacentral:rRNA from 1 species